GUAUCUCCACCAAGUAUAAUAUACCUAAAUAUAAAUAGAAGCGGAAAUAUUUCAUAGUGUUUCCCUGUAUUAUCAUACAGAAUCAAAAGGUUAUCGACAUUUCAAAUCUACUUGGUCAAACAAAGGAUCAUUAUGGCUGUACCCUUGAACAAAGAUUAUCUGCCUUACCACUUACAAAAGUAUAAUGAUCACGAACCAACCCUACGAACGCAUCUUGCUGGCCAGAUAAGUAACAUUGCACGAGAUUUAAAACAUCGCAAUGUCCUGCAAGAUCACCAGUUGAAGAGAAUUUUGACAGGAGUAGAUAUAAACCCAGAAGAUUGUGUAUCAGAACUAAUUAACACACUGAAAGAAUACAAAGGUGGCCAUUUUGAUGUCUUUAUGGACUGUUUAACAUCUUUUGGUUAUGGGGAGUUAGUAAAGAACAUAAAAGACGAUUCGGGAGCAGGUCCGGUAACUAGAAGCCAGACACAGCCAAGAGCCCACGGGGAAGUCGCAAGCUACAGAGGGCCGGUAACAGGAAUCAAGGUACAGCAAAGUACCCACCCGGAAGUCAAAGAGUAUACAGGUUUCCAAAAAGGAGUGAUGAAUGCCGAUGAUAUGAAAGUAUGGAUAUCAAACACCGAACGUAUUGUACAAGAUUUUCAAAGGAGCCUUGGCGACGUUAUGAUGCAAUUAUAUCAAGCCCACAUUAUAGACAUGAAUGAUAAAACUCGAAUCGAAAGGACAACUAAAGACAAAUACGAAGCAGAUGCAGCAAGAGACUUAGUGGAUCUUCUUGCAAAUCGUGGUCCUAAUGUCCUCAGAAGAAUCAUAAAGGCCCUGUCACCAGAAUAUAACAUAGCAAAAGUCCUAGAAGAUGCAUUAAACAGUUAAAAUUUACAAUUUUCUGUGUCAUGGCUGAUCAUUGUAUAUUUAUCAUUAGUAUUUUGUAUAUCAGUCAAAUCACGAUCUUUUCAAUUUUGUGACAGGCAUUGCGUCAUUUUAGCAUUUUUUUUAUAUUGUAAUCUUAAACUGAAUGAACUAUGUGAAUUAUUUGGAAUGAAUAUAAAUGUAUCACUUUGCUU